UACGUAGGGCGCAAGCGUUAUCCGGAAUUAUUGGGCGUAAAGAGCUCGUAGGCGGUUUGUCGCGUCUGCCGUGAAAGUCCGGGGCUCAACUCCGGAUCUGCGGUGGGUACGGGCAGACUAGAGUGAUGUAGGGGAGACUGGAAUUCCUGGUGUAGCGGUGAAAUGCGCAGAUAUCAGGAGGAACACCGAUGGCGAAGGCAGGUCUCUGGGCAUUAACUGACGCUGAGGAGCGAAAGCAUGGGGAGCGAACAGGAUUAGAAACCCGUGUAGU
rnacentral:rRNA from 1 species